UGAUCUCAAAUCAGGUAGGACUACCCGCUGAACUUAAGCAUAUCAAUAAGCGGAGGAGGGCGGAUCCCCCGGGCUGCAGGAAUUCGAUAUCAAGCUUAUCGAUACCGUCGACCUCGAGGGGGGGCCCGGUACCCAAUUC
rnacentral:rRNA from 1 species